GGGGAUUUGGGUCAAUGGUAGAACAUUUGCCUGGCAUGUAUGAGGCCUUGGGUGCCAUUCCCAGCACCCCA
rnacentral:tRNA from 1 species